rnacentral:rRNA from 1 species
GCAGGCUUAACACAUGCAAGUCGAACGGUAACAGGUAAGUACUUGUACUUAUGCUGACGAGUGGCGGACGGGUGAGUAAUGCUUGGGGAUCUGGCUUAUGGAGGGGGAUAACGACGGGAAACUGUCGCUAAUACCGCGUAGAAUCGGGAGAUGAAAGUGUGGGACCUUCGGGCCACAUGCCAUAGGAUGAACCCAAGUGGGAUUAGGUAGUUGGUGGGGUAAUGGCCUACCAAGCCGACGAUCUCUAGCUGGUCUGAGAGGAUGACCAGCCACACCGGGACUGAGACACGGCCCGGACUCCUACGGGAGGCAGCAGUGGGGAAUAUUGCGCAAUGGGGGCAACCCUGACGCAGCCAUGCCGCGUGAAUGAAGAAGGCCUUCGGGUUGUAAAGUUCUUUCGGUGACGAGGAAGGUUGUUGUGUUAAUAGCGCAACAAAUUGACGUUAAUCACAGAAGAAGCACCGGCUAACUCCGUGCCAGCAGCCGCGGUAAUACGGAGGGUGCGAGCGUUAAUCGGAAUAACUGGGCGUAAAGGGCACGCAGGCGGACUUUUAAGUGAGGUGUGAAAUCCCCGGGCUUAACCUGGGAAUUGCAUUUCAGACUGGGGGUCUAGAGUACUUUAGGGAGGGGUAGAAUUCCACGUGUAGCGGUGAAAUGCGUAGAGAUGUGGAGGAAUACCGAAGGCGAAGGCAGCCCCUUGGGAAUGUACUGACGCUCAUGUGCGA